rnacentral:misc_RNA from 1 species
UUAAGUUCAGCGCGUAUUCCUACCUGAUCCGAGGUCAACCUUGAAGAAAUUUCCUGGUUGAAGGAGAAGGACCGUGUCCUGGGCGCCCUUGUCCGAUACGUGCUCAGUUAAAAGCUCAGUGUACCGGGGGAUCCGCAGGCCGCCGUCAUUGUCUUUAGGAGGGGUCGUGGUUACACGACCAAAAACCGUCCAACACCAAG